GUGCUUGCUUCAGCAGCACUAAUAUGCUAAAAUUGGAACAAUACAGAGACGAUUAGCAUGGUCUAAGUACAUGGACGAUUAGCAUGAAGCGUUCCACAUUUUA
ensembl:snRNA U6 U6 spliceosomal RNA